rnacentral:rRNA from 1 species
CCUACGGGGAGCAGCAGUGAGGAAUAUUGGUCAAUGGACGAGAGUCUGAACCAACCAAGUAGCGUGAAGGAUGACUGCCCUAUGGGUUGUAAACUUCUUUUAUAUGGGAAUAAAAUGUUCCACGUGUGGGAUUUUGUAUGUACCAUAUGAAUAAGGAUCGGCUAACUCCGUGCCAGCAGCCGCGGUAAUACGGAGGAUCCGAGCGUUAUCCGGAUUUAUUGGGUUUAAAGGGAGCGUAGGUGGAUUGUUAAGUCAGUUGUGAAAGUUUGCGGCUCAACCGUAAAAUUGCAGUUGAAACUGGCAGUCUUGAGUACAGUAGAGGUGGGCGGAAUUCGUGGUGUAGCGGUGAAAUGCUUAGAUAUCACGAAGAACUCCGAUUGCGAAGGCAGUUCACUGGACUGCAACUGACACUGAGGCUCGAAAGUGUGGGUAUCAAACAGGAUUAGAUACCCGUGUAGUC